AAAAUUCCAAUAAAAGGAAGCUAUUGUGCUCCAACUAUAUGUUUGGAUAAGUGUAAGAAGCAACAUGGAACUGUUGGUAGUUGUGCGGAAGAAAAAGGAUUUUGUAACUGCGCUUGUAAAUAAGGGUUCUCACUAAGUGUUAUGAAUCUAGUAAUGUCCAACCAAAGUUUUAUAUUAUUUCUUUUAACAAUAAGUCUAAAUGUUUGUUUUUGAUUUGUGGAUCUAUUUAUAAUAAAUAAUAAUAUGAAUGUUAAAUAAAUACAAAUGUGUAAAACAAGAGUGGACUAUUAAUAAAAUAUAUGAUCACAUUAUUGUUAGAAGUAACCAAUAUUACGUGUAAAAUCAAAAGCUUAAGAAGAGUUAAAAAGAUAGAGACGAAAUCACAACCAAUAUUUAAAUGUGAGAUAAUCAACUAACACGUAAUUUUGUACACAUUGUAAAAAAAAAAAGCAAGAGUUGAUUAUCAAACAAAAAAGUGUUAGAAAGAGCAACAGAUCAUUCAAGGGCAGACUAGGUUUGAAUUGGCUUGACAGAUGGGAUGCAGACAUGCCAUAGGAAAGUCUUACAAACUCAUCAGACAACGCAAAGAAAAGUGAUAGCAUUGUUUCUGAACAUGACAAAGCUUUGGUCAUGAAGAAAAAUUUCACAACCAGAGUUUUUGGUAGACCUCCUCCAAUGUCAUCAUCAGCUACGAGUUUUGAGACUUCAUCCACAUCUCAGUCUCUAUUUCAAUUCUCAUGAAGUUUCCUUUAGAGAAGAGGUUAUUACAAAAAGCCAAGUUACAUGAACCUAACACAAUCUAUCAAAGGUAAGAAGAGACGAUCAACCAGUAUUCUUCAUCUUCUUGUUUCAAAAUCACUGUUUGAAAAUAAACAGUCAAUGUCUUACAACGAAGAUGUGAAUGUAAAGUGUUGUGCAUGUUCGGAUCCAUCUUGCACCCAGUGGAGUGAUCUAUAUCCACAUGCUCAAGUAACAAGGAGAAAUAUGUGGGAAUAUAUGUAAAAAUACUUCUUUUUUUUUUUUUUGUCAUCAGCAUUACAGAUUUCUAUAUAAGUUACUUCUUAUGUUUUAACAAAUAGAAUACUUCAUCUCUUUCCUAAAUUUUAAGCCAAUAUCAAUCCAUUUCUAUAAUCCAUGAUGAAGAAAUCCCUUCAACUCUCGUUUACGUUCUUAAUUAUCUCCAUCAUUCUCUCACAAGGUUUGUAUUUACAUCUUAAUAUAUUGCAUAUAUUAAUUCCAUAAUAAAUUGAUUAUACUAAAAUUUGACUUUUAAAAUAUUGUAAACCUCAAUAUAAUAAAUUUUAUUAACUAUAUAAAACAUAGCAUUAAAUUAUCUCUUUGUGUAAAAUUCAUAAAUUUGCAGAAGGCUAGAAAAUAUAGAUAGUAUGGUCAGAAAUGUUUUUGUUAAAAUUGAAAGGAUCAACCAUGAAGUAUUUAACUGUUUUUUAUACUUUAUGCCAUUUAUAAUUUUUUUUAAUGUAUGGGUUUAUAUAUGAUGAAGAACUAUUAUGAUAAAAUAAUAUUAAAUAAUUUCAUUUUUAUCAUCUAUUUAUGAACAUUUUGUCCUGCACAUACAAACGAUUUAACCAACAUUUUUCAUAAUAUGGAUGAACUAUAGUUCUUACGUAAAUUUAUUUGAUAUUUUUAAUUAAAUUUAUAUAUUUUUGUAGGUAAUAUGUUAUGCAUUUCCAAUACAUACAGUAGUUGUUCUUAAAAUAUCAAAAUUUUAUACGUAAUGUUUAUUAAUAUGCACACAAUUCUUAAAACCAUAUUUUCACAAAAUAAAAAAUAAUGUGUUACCAAACGAUAUGCUCAUUUUUUUAAUUUACUGGCAAAAUAUAUUUCUUUUUUUUACUUAUAACGUUUAAAACGAAAUGUUAUUAAACAUUUUUUGCUGAUAAAUAAAUUUUCUAUUUCAUAAAAUCUAUAUAUAUUUUCUAACAAUUAAAAUUUAAAAUUUUAAUAUCUUACAGGAAUGAUGGCAGAUGCGCAGAAAAAGAAUUGUCCUCAUAAAAUUCCAAUAAAAGGAAGCUAUUGUGCUCCAACUAUAUGUUUGGAUAAGUGUAAGAAGCAACAUGGAACUGUUGGUAGUUGUGCGGAAGAAAAAGGAUUUUGUAACUGCGCUUGUAAAUAAGGGUUCUCACUAAGUGUUAUGAAUCUAGUAAUGUCCAACCAAAGUUUUAUAUUAUUUCUUUUAACAAUAAGUCUAAAUGUUUGUUUUUGAUUUGUGGAUCUAUUUAUAAUAAAUAAUAAUAUGAAUGUUAAAUAAAUACAAAUGUGUAAAACAAGAGUGGACUAUUAAUAAAAUAUAUGAUCACAUUAUUGUUAGAAGUAACCAAUAUUACGUGUAAAAUCAAAAGCUUAAGAAGAGUUAAAAAGAUAGAGACGAAAUCACAACCAAUAUUUAAAUGUGAGAUAAUCAACUAACACGUAAUUUUGUACACAUUGUAAAAAAAAAAAGCAAGAGUUGAUUAUCAAACAAAAAAGUGUUAGAAAGAGCAACAGAUCAUUCAAGGGCAGACUAGGUUUGAAUUGGCUUGACAGAUGGGAUGCAGACAUGCCAUAGGAAAGUCUUACAAACUCAUCAGACAACGCAAAGAAAAGUGAUAGCAUUGUUUCUGAACAUGACAAAGCUUUGGUCAUGAAGAAAAAUUUCACAACCAGAGUUUUUGGUAGACCUCCUCCAAUGUCAUCAUCAGCUACGAGUUUUGAGACUUCAUCCACAUCUCAGUCUCUAUUUCAAUUCUCAUGAAGUUUCCUUUAGAGAAGAGGUUAUUACAAAAAGCCAAGUUACAUGAACCUAACACAAUCUAUCAAAGGUAAGAAGAGACGAUCAACCAGUAUUCUUCAUCUUCUUGUUUCAAAAUCACUGUUUGAAAAUAAACAGUCAAUGUCUUACAACGAAGAUGUGAAUGUAAAGUGUUGUGCAUGUUCGGAUCCAUCUUGCACCCAGUGGAGUGAUCUAUAUCCACAUGCUCAAGUAACAAGGAGAAAUAUGUAGGCAAAGAAGCUAAAGUAAACAUUGUUUCAUUAAAUCAUUAAAGCAUUUCAACACCUUGACGGUUCUAAAACACACACAAAAUGCUGAUUUAUUGAUAUAUAAGCAACUUCUAUGUAUGUUUUUUUACAUACGAGUUAGUAUGAAAACCGCUGCAAUGUUGUUGUUUGACCACUUUUAUUAUUUAAUAGUUAACUUCUGAUGAUUCUAAGAUAAUAUGUUAUUCCCAACUCUUGUCAAUAUGAAAGCAAGAGCAAAGUUUCAUCUUUAUACAUGAAAGACCAAUAAAAUGACCAAAAAACAUAGUUUAGACGAAAGCUUCCUAAUAAAAUUUAUUCUCACUAUCUAAAUCUAAAACUGAAUUCAAUUCAUCUAUCUGAUUAUUAUAUAGUUUUCAUUUUCGUUAUUUUAUUGAAUUGAGUAAAAAAAAUUCAAUUAUAAACUUAGUAAUUUUUUAGUAUAAUCUUAUAAAUUAUGUAACGUGUGGGACAUCCACCUAAUAAACUAUUAAUUUAAAUAGUAAUGUUUGAAAAGUAUUUUAUUGACAUUGUUUUAAAUAAAUUCAUAAUUCUAAAAAUAGCAAUAACUUUUUGAAAACAUCAGAUUUAUGUACACGCAUAGGACACAUACCUUUUUAUUUACUUAAAGGUAAAUGAACGAGUCUAAAUUUUCCACAUGUUAUAUGAGCAAAACAUGGAUUUUUCUAAAUUGGAUUAGUUUUUAUCGGAACACAUUAAUGUGCGUUUCUUAAAUUAGAUUUUUAAUAUGUAUAUAUACGUAUGAAUACUUCUUAUAUUUAAAUAAAAAAUAGAAUACUUCAUCUCUUUCCUAAAUUUUUAAGCCAAUAUCAAUCCAUUUCUAUAAUCCAAGAUGAAGAAAUCCCUUCAACUCUCGUUUACGUUCUUAAUUAUCUCCAUCAUUCUCUCACAAGGUUUGUAUUUACAUCUUAAUAUAUUGCAUAUAUUAAUUCCAUAAUAAAUUGAUUAUACUAAAAUUUGACUUUUAAAAUAUUGUAAACCUCAAUAUAAUAAAUUUUAUUAACUAUAUAAAACAUAGCAUUAAAUUAUCUCUUUGUGUAAAAUUCAUAAAUUUGCAGAAGGCUAGAAAAUAUAGAUAGUAUGGUCAGAAAUGUUUGCGUUAAAAUUGAAAGGAUCAACCAUGAAGUAUUUAACUGUUUUUUAUACUUUAUGCCAUUUAUAAUUUUUUUAAUGUAUGGAUUUAUAUAUGAUGAAGAACUAUUAUGAUAAAAUAAUAUUAAAUAAUUUCAUUUUUAUCAUUUAUUUAUGAACAUUUUGUCCUGCACAUACAAAUGAUUUAACCAACAUUUUUCAUAAUAUGGAUAAACUAUAGUUCUUACGUAAAUGUAUUUGAUACUUUUAAUUAAAUUUAUAUAUUUUUAUAGGUAAUAUGUUAUGCUUUUCUAAUACAUACAGUAGUUGUUCAUAAAAUAUCAAAAUUUUAUACGUAAUGUUUAUUAAUAUGCACACAAUUCUUAAAACCAUAUUUUUCACAAAAUAAAAAAUAAUGUGUGACCAAACGAUAUGCUCAUUUUUUUUAUUUACUGGCAAAAUAUAUUUCUUUUUUUUUUUGCUUAUAACGUUUAAAACGAAAUGUUAUUAAACAUUUUUUGCUGAUAAAUAAAUUUUUUAUUUCAUAAAAUCUAUAUAUAUAUUCUAACAAUUAAAAUUUAAUAUUUUAAUAUCUUACAGGAAUGAUGGCAGAUGCGCAGAAAAAGAAUUGCCCUCAUAAAAUUCCAAUAAAAGGAAGCUAUUGUAUUCCAACUAAAUGUUUGGAUAUGUGUAAGAAGCAACAUGGAACUCUUGGUAGUUGUUCGGAAGAAAAAGGAUUUUGUAACUGCGCUUGUAAGUAAGGGUUCUCACUAAGUGUUAUGAAUCUAGUAAUGUCCAACCAAAGUUUUAUAUUAUUUCUUUUAACAAUAAGUCUAAAUGUUUGUCUCUGAUUUGUGGAUCUAUUUAUAAUAAAUAAUAAUAUGAAUGUUAAAUAAAUACAAAUGUGUAAAACAAGAGUGGACUAUUAAUAAAAUAUAUGAUCACAUUAUUGUUAGAAGUAAC
rnacentral:lncRNA from 1 species